rnacentral:rRNA from 1 species
UGGGGAAUUUUGGACAAUGGGCGAAAGCCUGAUCCAGCAAUGCCGCGUGUGUGAAGAAGGCCUUCGGGUUGUAAAGCACUUUUGUCCGGAAAGAAAUCCUUGGCUCUAAUACAGUCGGGGGAUGACGGUACCGGAAGAAUAAGCACCGGCUAACUACGUGCCAGCAGCCGCGGUAAUACGUAGGGUGCAAGCGUUAAUCGGAAUUACUGGGCGUAAAGCGUGCGCAGGCGGUCCGCUAAGACAGAUGUGAAAUCCCCGGGCUUAACCUGGGAACUGCAUUUGUGACUGGCGGGCUAGAGUAUGGCAGAGGGGGGUUAGAAUUCCACGUGUAGCAGUGAAAUGCGUAGAGAUGUGGAGGAAUACCGAUGGCGAAGGCAGCCCCCUGGGCCAAUACUGACGCUCAUGCACGAAAAGCGUGGGGGAGCAAACAGGAUUAGAUACCCUGGUAGUCCACGCCCUAAACGAUGUCAACUAGUUGUCGGGUCUUCAUUGACUUGGUAACGUAGCUAACGCGUGAAGUUGACCGCCUGGGGAGU